AUUAACAGUUACAGGGGCAGGUCCACAGCCUCUUACACGGACUGUCCCACCUGAAACUGUAGCUAAAAACCAUGGAGGCUGAGCCUCGUUCACGCUCAGGCGGAGGACGCAGCCCCUGAGAUGAGCACACGCCUGAGGCGCCGGAGUCCGGGCGCGGGGACAUCCUUCCUGUGGCCGGACUGACGGACACGACCCACCGGAGGGGGCUUUCACUUUUCAUCUCUUAGCAAAGGCCAACCUGGAUUUUCACUUUGGCCCUGAAAUGUGCUUCGUUUUCUAUGAAGUCAGAGGCGGACUACGAUGGCCUCCCACACCUCCCCCUUUUGAGGCUUAUGAUCUCUUUUCUUCUUAUAUAAACUGGGACCAGUAUGUAUUUUCUGUCAUUCAUCUGAUAACACCCAUUUUGCACCUUCCCUGUCUUCUCUAAGUAUGGGUUCCUGCCCAGAGUUGCAGCUCUGGAUCUGGGAAGAAUCCUUGAGUGCAGUACCCCAGCCCCACCCCAACAAUUACUGAUCAACUCUGGGCAACUUCCAUGGCAUAUCGCCACCUUGCCACAAAAGGGAUAAAAAGAAGAGUGACCUUUAGCCCUGGUGCCCUGGACAGUGAAAAUAGUGGAAAACAGAAGCUCAGGUCACAUUCAAAUAAAAAUGCAAGGCUGACUCGGAUUAAGUGAGCAAUCUAUAAAUGUUAUCAAAAUGUGAAAAAAGGGAGCUCUUUAUUGAAGGUAAAGAGACAGGCUGAACGUAAGAUGGUGACAUGCCCUGGCCCUGUGCUACCCCUGGAUUGUUCCUUCUGUAACCCCUGAGGGUGGCGGUUGGGUCAGCAGGAUGGCCUGCUCCUAGGGUCUGAGAGGCCCCUCAGAGAAGGUGAUGUUUGAAUUUGGACUCCAGUUCACAUCUGAGAUCGGGCAUCUCAGGCCAGGCAAUAGCAUUAGGACUCGAUUACAACAGUUCAGGCCUGAGGCAAUGAAACUUGGAAUUGGCAUUGAGAAUGGAAAAACGGUCAAGUGCGAGAGACAUUGAGGAGAAACUGGUUUUCAGAUUUCCAA